ACAGUGGGUGGUUAUGGGGCGGCUAUGGGGCACAGUGGGCGGUUUUGGGGUGGCUAUGGGGCACAGGGAUGGUUAUGGGGUGGUUAUGGGGCACAGGCGUGGUUAUGGGGUGGCUGUGGGGCGGCUAUGGGGUGGUUAUGGGGCGCAAGGCUGGUUAUGGGGUGGCUAUGGGGCACAGGGAUGGCUAUGGGGCAGUUAUGGGGUGCUUAUGGGGCACUGGGAUGGAUAUGGGGCGGUUUUAGGGCAGUUAUGGGGCACAGGGGUGGCUAUGGGGUGGCUGUGGGGCGGUUAUGGGGCACAGGGGUGGUUAUGGGGUGGUUGUGGGGUGGCUAUGGGGCACAGGGGUGGCUAUGGGGCAGUUGUGGGGUUUCUGUGAGGCACAGUGGUUCCUAUGGGGCACAGUGGGUCCUAUGGGGUCCCUACAGGAUCUCUAUGGGAUCUCAGUGUGUCCUUAUGGGGUCCUUAUGGGGUUCUGUGGGUCCUUAUGGGGUUCUAUGGGGUCCCUAUGGGGUCCCUAUGGGGUCCUUAUGGGGUCCUUAUGGGGUCCUUAUGGGGUUCUGUGGGGCCACCCUACAGCCAUGGGGCAGCCGAGCGACCAGGGUCCCUAUGGGGUUCUGUGGGUUCUUAUGGGUCCCUAUGGGUCCCUAUGGGUCCUUAUGGGGUUUCUAUGGGGUCCUAUGGGUCCCUAUGGGUCUGUGGGUCCCUAUGGGUCCUUAUGGGGUCCUUAUGGGGUCGUUAUGGGGCCGUUUUGGGGCCGCCCUGCAGCCAUGGGGGAACCGAGCGACCUGGGUCCCUAUGGGGUCGCUAUGGAUUCCUACAGGUUCCUAUGGGGUUCUAUGGGUCCCUAUGGGGUUUUAUGGGGUUCUACGGGUCCCUAUGGGUCUGUGGGUCCUUAUGGGUCCUUAUGGGGUC
rnacentral:lncRNA from 1 species